UCCCUGGAAGUCCAGUGGUUAGGACUCCAUGCUUCUACUGCAAGGGACCCAGGUUCAAUCCUUGGUCAGGGAA
rnacentral:tRNA from 1 species